GCCUCAAUCCCAAAGGAAACAGGAGCAGGGAUCUCCCAAUCCCAAGGGAUUCCAGGGAUAUCCCAAAGGAUUUCAGGGAUACCCCAAUCCCAAGGAAUUCAAGGGAUAUCCCAAAGGAUUCCAGGAAUAUCCCAAGGAAUUCCAGGGAUAUCCCAAGGAAUUCCAGGGAUAUCCCAAGUGAUUCCAGGGAUCUCCCAAUCCCAAAGGAAACGGCACCAGGGGUACCCGAGGGAGAUCCUGCUCUGGAAUCAUUUCGGGAUCACGCUCCGGGGGCGUUUCCCACGCGGCGGCUCCGGAAUUCCAGGGAGGGAACACCAAGGAGCUGCUGGGAGCUGCUGGGAGCUGCUGGGAGCUGCUUUUUCCAGGGAAUUUGGGGAAGGAGAAGGCGCCAUCAGUCCGACCUCGAGAAAUCCACGGAGACAGAAAAAGAGAGAGAGAGAGAGAGAGAGGGAGAGGAAAAAGAAGCGAAUCCCGCGUGGAGAAUUUUCCAGGGAGGAUUUUCCAGGGAGGAUUUUCCCGGGAGAAUUUUCCAGGGAGGAUUUUCCCGGGAGGAUUUUCCCGGGAGGGUUUUCCCAGGAGGGUUUUCCAGGGAGGAUUUUCCAGGGAGGGUUUCCCCGGGAGGGUUUUCCAGGGAGGAUUUUCCAAGGAGAAUUUUCCCAGGAGGAUUUUCCCAGAAGGAUUUUCCCGGGAGAAUUUUCCAGGGAGGAUUUUCCAGGGAGGGUUUUCCAGGGAGGAUUUUCCCGGGAGGAUUUUCCUGGGAGGAUUUUCCCGGGAGGAUUUUCCCGGGAGAAUUUUCCUGGAAGGAUUUUCCCAGGAGGAUUUUCCAGGGACGAUUUUCCCGGGAGGAUUUUCCCGGGAGGAUUUUCCUGGGAGGAUUUUCCUGGGAGGAUUUUCCCGGGAGGAUUUUCCUGGGAGGAUUUUCCUGGGAGGAUUUUCCCGGGAGGAUUUUCCUGGGAGGAUUUUCCAGGGAGGA
rnacentral:lncRNA from 1 species